UUGUUCCUACGGGGGGCAGCAGUGGGGAAUAUUGCACAGUGGGGGAAACCCUGAUGCAGCAACGCCGCGUGAGUGAAGAAGUAUUUCGGUAUGUAAAGCUCUAUCAGCAGGGAAGAAGAUGACGGUACCUGACCAAGAAGCCCCGGCUAACUACGUGCCAGCAGCCGCGGUAAUACGUAGGGGGCAAGCGUUAUCCGGAUUUACUGGGUGUAAAGGGAGCGCAGACGGCAGCGCAGGUCUGGAGUGAAAGCCCGGGGCCCAACCCCGGACC
rnacentral:rRNA from 1 species